GACGAACGCUGGCGGCGUGCUUAACACAUGCAAGCCGAACGGUGAAGCGCCUUCCUUUUUGGUGGGUGUGGAUGAGUGGCGAACGGGUGAGUAACACGUGAGUAACCUGCCCCCUUCUUCUGGAUAACCGCAUGAAAGUGUGGCUAAUACGGGAUAUUCUGGGUCUGUCGCAUGAUGGGUCUGGGAAAGAUAUUGUUUCGGUGGGGGAUGGGCUCGCGGCCUAUCAGCUUGUUGGUGGGGUGAUGGCCUACCAAGGCGGUGACGGGUAGCCGGCCUGAGAGGGUGGACGGUCACACUGGGACUGAGACACGGCCCAGACUCCUACGGGAGGCAGCAGUGGGGAAUAUUGCACAAUGGGCGCAAGCCUGAUGCAGCGACGCCGCGUGAGGGAUGGAGGCCUGCGGGUUGUGAACCUCUUUCGCCAGUGAAGCAGGCCUGCCUCGUUUGUGGGUGGGUUGACGGUAGCUGGAUAAGAAGCGCCGGCUAACUACGUG
rnacentral:rRNA from 1 species